AACAGGAUUAGAUACCCUGGUAGUCCACCCCGUAAACGUUGGGAACUAGUUGUGGGGACCAUUCCACGGUUUCCGUGACGCAGCUAACGCAUUAAGUUCCCCGCCUGGGGAGUACGGCCGCAAGGCUAAAACUCAAAGGAAUUGACGGGGACCCGCACAAGCGGCGGAGCAUGCGGAUUAAUUCGAUGCAACGCGAAGAACCUUACCAAGGCUUGACAUAUACGAGAACGGGCCAGAAAUGGUCAACUCUUUGGACACUCGUAAACAGGUGGUGCAUGGUUGUCGUCAGCUCGUGUCGUGAGAUGUUGGGUUAAGUCCCGCAACGAGCGCAACCCUCGUUCUAUGUUGCCAGCACGUAAUGGUGGGAACUCAUGGGAUACUGCCGGGGUCAACUCGGAGGAAGGUGGGGAUGACGUCAAAUCAUCAUGCCCCUAAUGUCUUGGGCUUCGCGCAUGCUACAAUGGCCGGUACAAAGGGCUGCAAUACCGUGAGGUGGAGCGAAUCCCAAAAAGCCGGUCCCAGUUCGGAUUGAGGUCUGCAACUCGACCUCAUGAAGUCGGAGUCGCUAGUAAUCGCAGAUCAGCAACGCUGCGGUGAAUACGUUCCCGGGUCUUGUACACACCGCCCGUCAAGUCAUGAAAGUCGGUAACACCUGAAGCCGGUGGCCCAACCCUUGUGGAGGGAGCCGUCGAAGGUGGGAUCGGUAAUUAGGACUAAGUCGUAACAAGGUA
rnacentral:rRNA from 1 species